rnacentral:tRNA from 1 species
GAGGGUAUAGCUCAAGUGAUAGAGUGCAUGCUUAGCAUGCAUGAGGUCUUGGGUUCAAUCCCCAGUACCUCCU